UACGUAGGUCCCGAGCGUUGUCCGGAUUUAUUGGGCGUAAAGCGAGCGCAGGCGGUUAGAUAAGUCUGAAGUUAAAGGCUGUGGCUUAACCAUAGUACGCUUUGGAAACUGUUUAACUUGAGUGCAAGAGGGGAGAGUGGAAUUCCAUGUGUAGCGGUGAAAUGCGUAGAUAUAUGGAGGAACACCGGUGGCGAAAGCGGCUCUCUGGCUUGUAACUGACGCUGAGGCUCGAAAGCGUGGGGAGCAAACAGGAUUAGAUACCCUGGUAGUC
rnacentral:rRNA from 1 species